rnacentral:rRNA from 1 species
UACGGAGGGUGCGAGCGUUAAUCGGAAUUACUGGGCGUAAAGCGUGCGUAGGCGGUAAGUUAAGUCAGAUGUGAAAGCCCUGGGCUCAACCUGGGAACGGCAUUUGAAACUGGCUUGCUAGAGUUAGGUAGAGGGGAGUGGAAUUUCAGGUGUAGCGGUGAAAUGCGUAGAUAUCUGAAGGAACACCAGUGGCGAAGGCGGCUCCCUGGACCCAAACUGACGCUGAGGUACGAAAGCGUGGGUAGCAAACAGG